UACGUAGGGUGCGAGCGUUAAUCGGAAUUACUGGGCGUAAAGCGUGCGCAGGCGGUGAUGUAAGACCGAUGUGAAAUCCCCGGGCUUAACCUGGGAACUGCAUUGGUGACUGCAUCGCUCGAGUGUGGCAGAGGGGGGUGGAAUUCCGCGUGUAGCAGUGAAAUGCGUAGAGAUGCGGAGGAACACCGAUGGCGAAGGCAGCCCCCUGGGUCAAGAUUGACGCUCAUGCACGAAAGCGUGGGGAGCAAACAGG
rnacentral:rRNA from 1 species